rnacentral:rRNA from 1 species
GACGAACGCUGGCGGCGUGCCUAAUACAUGCAAGUCGAGCGAAUCUUGAGGUGCUUGCACCUCUUGGUUAGCGGCGGACGGGUGAGUAACACGUGGGCAACCUGCCUGUAAGACUGGGAUAACUUCGGGAAACCGGAGCUAAUACCGGAUAAUCCUUUUCCUUUCAUGAGGAAAAGCUGAAAGUCGGUUUUUCGCUGACACUUACAGAUGGGCCCGCGGCGCAUUAGCUAGUUGGUGAGGUAACGGCUCACCAAGGCGACGAUGCGUAGCCGACCUGAGAGGGUGAUCGGCCACACUGGGACUGAGACACGGCCCAGACUCCUACGGGAGGCAGCAGUAGGGAAUCUUUCGCAAUGGACGAAAGUCUGACGGAGCAGCGCCGCGUGAGCGAUGAAGGCCUUCGGGUCGUAAAGCUCUGUUGUUAGGGAAGAACAAGUAUCGGAGUAACUGCCGGUACCUUGACGGUACCUAACCAGAAAGCCACGGCUAACUACGUGCCAGCCGCCGCGGUAA